GGAAGGAUCAUUACCGAGAGAGGCGUCAGCCUCGGGGGGCUUCGGCUCCUUCUUCACACCCUGUGGAUACCGAACCGGUGUUGCUUUGGCGGCGCGUGGCCGCCGGAGAAACCGUCCAAACCUUUUUGAAUAGAUGUCGUCCGAGUCCUGUCGAAUUGAACUAAAAACUUUCAACAACGGAUCUCUUGGUUCUGGCAUCGAUGAAGAACGCAGCGAAAUGCGAUAAGUAAUGUGAAUUGCAGAAUUCAGUGAAUCAUCGAAUCUUUGAACGCACAUUGCGCCCCUUGGCAUUCCGAGGGGCAUACCUGUUCGAGCGUCAUUGCACCCCUCAAGCCCUCCCCGGCUUGGUGUUGAGCCGUGCGUCCCCUCGGGACGGGCUCGAACGGCAGUGGCGGCCCGGCGCGCCUGCAAGUGCAGUAGGCAUAUCGUUCGCUUGAACGGCGCGUCCGGGUCCGGCCAGACAACCCCCCCCGCAAUCAAACCGUUUGACCUC
rnacentral:rRNA from 1 species